UCACCCCUCAAGCCUGGCUUGUUGUUGGACCUCAGGCGGCCGCACGCGGUCGCCGGUCCCAAAGACAAUGACGGCGUCCGUGGGACACUCGGUGCAACGAGCUCCUCCAAGGGCACGCAGCGAGUCGAAAAGUCCCCCGGCACGGUCUUGACCUUUUUUAUCUUCUAA
rnacentral:misc_RNA from 1 species